rnacentral:rRNA from 1 species
UGGGGAAUAUUGGACAAUGGGCGAAAGCCUGAUCCAGCCAUGCCGCGUGUGUGAAGAAGGUCUUCGGAUUGUAAAGCACUUUAAGUUGGGAGGAAGGGCAGUAAGCGAAUACCUUGCUGUUUUGACGUUACCGACAGAAUAAGCACCGGCUAACUCUGUGCCAGCAGCCGCGGUAAUACAGAGGGUGCAAGCGUUAAUCGGAAUUACUGGGCGUAAAGCGCGCGUAGGUGGUUCGUUAAGUUGAAUGUGAAAACCCCGGGCUCAACCUGGGAACUGCAUCCAAAACUGGCGGGCUAGAGUAGGGCAGAGGGUGGUGGAAUUUCCUGUGUGGCGGUGAAAUGCGUAGAUAUAGGAAGGAACACCAGUGGCGAAGGCGACCACCUGGGCUCAUACUGACACUGAGGUGCGAAAGCGUGGGGAGCAAACAGG